rnacentral:rRNA from 1 species
GAUGAACGCUGACAGAAUGCUUAACACAUGCAAGUCGACCGGAACUUCGGUUUGGGUGGCGGACGGGUGAGUAACGCGGACAGAACUUGCCUCACAGUUAGGGACGACAUUUGGAAACGAAUGCUAAUACGUGAUAUUAUGAUGUAAGGGCAUCCUAGGAGUAUGAAAGCUAUAUGUGCUGUGAGAGAGCUUUGCGUCCCCUUAGCUAGUUGGAGAGGUAACGGCUCACCAAGGCGACGAUGGGUAGCCGGCCUGAGAGGGUGAACGGCCACAAGGGGACUGGGACGCGGCCCUUACUCCUUCUUGCGGCAGGGGUGGGGACUUUAGGACACUAGACCGCGUGUCUGAUGCAGCUAUUCUGUGUGCACGAUGACGUUUUUCGGGAUGUAAAGUGGUUUCAGUUGGUAAGAAAAAAAUGACGGCACCAACAGAAGAAGUAACGGCUAACUACGUG